ensembl:lncRNA
AUGGCUGCUAAUGUGUGCAAUUCCGUUGCGUCUCUGAAAGAAGUUCCUUUAAGUCGACGAUCCAAUUCAGAUAAAUUGGCAUUAAAACAAUCAGGACCUCCAAGACCAAAAUUAAUAAAAAAGCGGUCGCACGUCAACAUUCUGUACAAGAGGCUCAAGAAGAAGGACAUUAAUGCAGCAGUCUUCAUCAAAAGAGCCCUCGAGAGCUUGACAAGCAGUGUGCAGACCAUUAGAGACUCUGACCAGCUGCAAGGGCCAUCAGGAACCGACAGACCAAGGACGGCUUUGACAGAAGAGGCGAAGCAGAGGCUGUCUGAAGAGGUCUACGACACCAUCCUGGCUCACACCAAAGCGAGGUUCUCUUUCACUGGCCACCUUGUGAGUGCUACCUUAGUACAAGGAAAUAUGUUUGAAAGGUACUGCCAUUCAUUUCCUGCUGAUGCUCUGAAUGCCUCUGUGAAGGCAUAUCCCACGCUGAACAAGGCAAAGCUCAAGACGGAGCUGUCUCUGAUCUAUGAGAAUCCUGAAUCAAGGCUUGCUGUGGUGCACUGGCACUGUACCAGGUUAUCAUGAGCUACAACCUCCAGGAGACCUUCUCUGAGACUGUGAGUUUGUUGAACAUUCUCAUAACUACUCCUAUGACAACAGCUGAAGCUGAGAGAUGUUUCUCAACUUUGAAAAUAAUUAAGACAUUCCUGCGAAAUUCAAUGGGCCAGGAACGUCUGAAUGCACUGGCCAUGCUCUCCAUGGAGAGGGAACUAGUCCUCAACAUGCGUGAUUUCAAUGAGAAAGUCAUUGACCGCUUUGCUGCACUGAAAGAGAGACUAGCAAAGUUACAGUACAAGUAAUCUAGUCUCUCUCUUUCUGUCUCUGUCUCUGUCUCUCUGUCUCUCCCUCUCUCUCUCUCUCUGUCUCUGUCUCUGUCUCUCUCUCUCUCUCUCGCUCUCUCUCUGUCUCUGUCUCUCUCUCUGUCUCUCUCUCUCUCUGUCUCUGUCUCUGUCUCUCUCUCUCUCUCGCUCUCUCUCUGUCUCUGUCUCUCUCUCUGUCUCUCUCUCUCUCUGUCUCUGUCUCUGUCUCUCUCUCUCUCUCUCUCUAUGUCUAUGUCUCUGUCUCUGUCCCUCUCUGUCUCUCUCUCUCUCUCUCUCUCUCUGUCUCUCUCUGUCCCCUUCCCCUGAGGAUGGACACUGGGUUACAGCGGCCCGAACCCCCCCACCCCCCCUUCCAGUGAGGAUGGACACUGGGUUACAGCGGCCCUCACAACCCCACACCACCACCCAACCCCUUUCAAGUGUAUAUUCUAUAUAGUUCUCUGCAAACCUAUGGCGGCAUAAUGCCUUCAGUGUGUAUAUUGUAUAGUCCUCUGCAAACCUAUGGCGGCAUAAUGCCUUCAGUGUGUAUAUUGUAUGUAGUUCUCUGCAAACCUAUGAUGGCAUCAUGCCUUCAGUGUGCAUAUUGUAUAUACAUGUAGUUCUCUGCAAACCUAUGGUUGCAUCAUGCCUUCAGUGUGCAUAUUGUAUAUACAUGUAGUUCUCUGCAAACCUAUGGUGGCAUCAUGCCUUCAGUGUGUCUUGAACAACCACACAUAAAAGGUUGCACAUAUUAUGUUGAUAUUUUAUCGUAUUUGUCUAAAUGCAUACUUGACUGUAGAUAGAUUUAUGAGUGAAGUUACCAACACAAUAGAUUGGCCGUAACACACUCACCCCUUUUAGAAUCCCAUUCGGUAACACUUUAUAAUAAGGUGCCAUAAAAAAUAGCAAACUAGUCAUUACCUAACCCUUUGUUAAUAUUUGUUAAUUGUUACUAGUUAAUAGUUUUUUCAUCAUUAAUCAAAUAUUAGUUGUUUGCAUACAAUCUGUAUGUUAAUGUUUUAACAAAUAGAAAACGAUCUAUUAACUAAUAUUGUAUUAAUAUUCAUUAAUAGUUAACUAAAUGUAUUUUUGUCACUAAUUAACAGUUAUUUCUUACAUUAUUUAAAUGUUAAAUGUUUAUUUACAAACUAUAUGUUAAUAUAAGUUAAUGACAUAUUAUUAUUUAACUAAUUGUUAUUAAACUGUGCUUCUCCC